UGCAUGUCUAAGUACAUGCCGUAUCAAGGCGAAACCGCGAAUGGCUCAUUAAAUCAGUUAUGGUUCCUUGGAUCGUACCUUACUACUUGGAUAACUGUGGCAAUUCUAGAGCUAAUACAUGCAGCAGAGCUCCGACCCUUUGGGAACGAGCGCUUUUAUUAGACCAAAACCAAUCGGACCUCGUGUUCGUAAAAUGUGGUGACUCUGUAUAACUUUGGGCUGAUCGCACGGGCCUGUCCGGGCGACGUAUCCUUCAAGUGUCUGCCUUAUCAACUUUCGAUGGUAGGUUAUGCGCCUACCAUGGUCGUAACGGGUCACGGGGAAUCAGGGUUCGAUUCCGGAGAGGGAGCCUGAGAAACGGCUACCACAUCCAAGGAAGGCAGCAGGCGCGCAAAUUACCCACUCCCGGCUCGGGGAGGUAGUGACGAAAAAUAACAAUACGGGACUCUUUUGAGACCCCGUAAUUGGAAUGAGUACACUCUAAACCUUUUAACGAUUAUCCAUUGGAGAGCCAGUCUGGUGCCAGCAGUCGCGGUAACUCCAGCUCCAAUAGCGUAUAUUAAAGUUGUUGCGGUUAAAAAGCUCGUAGUUGGAUCUCAGUUCCAGACGGGUGGUCCGCCUUACGGCGGUUACUGCCUGUUCUGAACAGCCAGCCGGUUUCUCUUGAUGAUCUUCACCGGUUGUCUUGGGUGACCGGCAAGUUUACUUUGAAAAAAUUAGAGUGCUCAAAGCAGGCGUGACGCCUGGAUAAUGUUGCAUGGAAUAAUGGAAUAGGACCUCGGUUCUAUUUUGUUGGUUUUCGGAACACGAGGUAAUGAUUAAGAGGGACAGACGGGGGCAUUCGUAUUGCGACGAUAGAGGUGAAA
rnacentral:rRNA from 1 species